GAUGAACGCUGGCGGCGUGCCUAAUACAUGCAAGUCGAGCGAAUGACGAGGAGCUUGCUCCUCUGAUUUAGCGGCGGACGGGUGAGUAACACGUGGGUAACCUGCCUGUAAGACGGGGAUAACUCCGGGAAACCGGAGCUAAUACCGGAUGAUAACGAGAAGCGCCUGCUUCUUUUUUGAAAGUCGGUUUCGGCUGACGCUUACAGAUGGGCCCGCGGCGCAUUAGCUAGUUGGUGAGGUAACGGCUCACCAAGGCGACGAUGCGUAGCCGACAGGGGAGGGUGAUCGGCCACACUGGGACUGAGACACGGCCCAGACUCCUACGGGAGGCAGCAGUAGGGAAUCUUCGGCAAUGGACGAAAGUCUGACCGAGCAACGCCGCGUGAGCGAUGAAGGCCUUCGGGUCGUAAAGCUCUGUUGUCAGAGAAGAACAAGUACCGGAGUAACUGCCGGUACCUUGACGGUACCUGACCAGAAAGCCACGGCUAACUACGUGCCAGCAGCCGCCGUAA
rnacentral:rRNA from 1 species